UACGAAUGGGGCAAGCGUUGUUCGGAAUCACUGGGCGUAAAGCGUGUGUAGGCGGUUUAACAAGUCAGAAGUGAAAUCCCAGGGCUUAACCCUGGAAUUGCUUUUGAAACUGUUAGGCUGGAGUCCCGGAGAGGUUAGCAGAAUUCCGAGUGUAGAGGUGAAAUUCGCAGAUAUUCGGAGGAAUACCAGUGGCGUAAGCGGCUAACUGGACGGGCACUGACGCUGAGACACGAAAGCGUGGGGAUCAAACAGG
rnacentral:rRNA from 1 species